GCGCCCGCCGCCUGGCUGCUUUCCGGACGCGCGCUCGCGCCUCCCGGGCGCACCUCGGGGCCCGCGGGCCGAGUGUCGCUAGGACGUUUUCCGCAGGCCUAGCAGGCUGACCCCGCGGCUCGGAGCAAGCGGUGCAGGUGUGGACUGCACAGCGAGGUGCACAGAAUCAGUUAAGCAAACCAGGAACCCAGCUAGAAAAUUAAACGCGCCCUGGAUCUACAAAGCAGGUCCCUUCGAGAGACCAAAGCCGUGAUCCCAACCUUAGCAACAUAAUUCUACUACAGGUGUUGAUAUAUUAUAUAUACUAAUCCAGAAAAAC
rnacentral:lncRNA from 1 species